UUUGAUCCUGGCUCAGGAUGAACGCUAGCGGCAGGCUUAACACAUGCAAGUCGAGGGGCAGCACGUCUUCGGNNNNNNUGGCGACCGGCGCACGGGUGAGUAACGCGUAUGCAACCUACCUGUAACAGAGGGAUAGCCCAUAGAAAUGUGGAUUAAUAUCUCAUAGUUCUAUUAGAUCGCAUGAUUUGAUAGAUAAAGCUCCGGCGGUUACAGAUGGGCAUGCGUGACAUUAGCUAGUUGGUAAGGUAACGGCUUACCAAGGCUACGAUGUCUAGGGGUUCUGAGAGGAUGAUCCCCCACACUGGUACUGAGACACGGACCAGACUCCUACGGGAGGCAGCAGUGAGGAAUAUUGGUCAAUGGGCGCAAGCCUGAACCAGCCAUCCCGCGUGCAGGAUGACGGCCCUCUGGGUUGUAAACUUCUUUUGUACGGGAAUAACCCUCCGAACGUGUUCGGAGCUGAAGGUACCGUAAGAAUAAGGAUCGGCUAACUCCGUGCCAGCAGCCGCGGUAAUACGGAGGAUCCAAGCGUUAUCCGGAUUUACUGGGUUUAAAGGGUGCGUAGGCGGAUUGAUAAGUCAGUGGUGAAAGCCUGCAGCUUAACUGCAGAACUGCCAUUGAUACUGCCAGUCUGGAGUAUGGUUGAGGUAGCUGGAAUGUGUCAUGUAGCGGUGAAAUGCUUAGAGAUGACACAGAACACCGACGGCGAAGGCAGGUUACCAACCCAUUACUGACGCUGAGGCACGAAAGCGUGGGGAUCAAACAGGAUUAGAUACCCUGGUAGUCCACGCCGUAAACUAUGAUUACUAGGUGUUGGGGGUCAAAGCCCGGUGCCGCAGCUAACGCAUUAAGUGAGCCACCUGGGGAGUACGAUCGCAAGGUUGAAACUCAAAGGAAUUGACGGGGGCCCGCACAAGCGGAGGAACAUGUGGUUUAAUUCGAUGAUACGCGAGGAACCUUACCUGGGCUUAAAUGUAGAGCGACAGAUUGUGAAAGCAGUCCUUCUUCGGACGAUCUACAAGGUGCUGCAUGGUUGUCGUCAGCUCGUGCCGUGAGGUGUCGGGUUAAGUCCCAUAACGAGCGCAACCCUUAUCGUUAGUUGCCAGCGGGUCAAGCCGGGGACUCUAGCGAGACUGCCACCGUAAGGUGUGAGGAAGGUGGGGAUGACGUCAAAUCAGCACGGCCCUUAUGUCCAGGGCUACACACGUGUUACAAUGGCCGAUACAAAGGGCAGCUACUCCGCGAGGAGAUGCUAAUCUCUAAAGUCGGUCCCAGUUCGGAUUGUAGGCUGCAACUCGCCUACAUGAAGUCGGAUUCGCUAGUAAUCGCGCAUCAGCCAUGGCGCGGUGAAUACGUUCCCGGGCCUUGUACACACCGCCCGUCAAGCCAUGGAAGUUGGGGGUGCCUAAAGUUCGUGACCGCAAGGAGCGACCUAGGGUAAAACCAAUGACUGGGGCUAAGUCGUAACAAGGUAACCA
rnacentral:rRNA from 1 species